rnacentral:lncRNA from 1 species
CGACAUGAAGAGGAAGGCCCCAAUGCCGGCACCCGGCCCACCUGCCCAGAAAUACAGAAUGGUUCCCCCACAAGCGCCUCGCAGGCCCGCACAGCCUGGGAGAUGGGUUGCUCGACCUCCACCGCAGGCAGCACCUCGUUCCCCCGGAUUCCAGCCGCAAGGGCCCCGACCUGCUCUCCCUGUGCCGCCGCGCCCAGUCAUGGGAAACCGCUAUUUCACUUGCGGGAACACAGGAC